UCAUAGUCAUCAAAUCCUAGAUCCGCCUCUCUGUAGCAGUACCAAUUUCAAAGAACUGAGUCUGCGAGGCGCAUCGAUUUCUUCUUCACCUGCUCCAUUUUGCCUCCCCUAACACGAGAUUCAUGUUUGGUAUCUUCAAGGUCCGCAUAGUAUCAUUCCCUCCACAAUUGAUUGAAAUUUCGAAGGUAGAAAGCUACCAAACGUUAGUGGAAUCCUCUUCUAUUGAAUGUCGCUUGCCAGUGUUACCAUUAUCUCUGUCGGUGCGAUGGUCCUAAUGGUGGUGUUGGGUCUUUUUUUCGAUUGUCGCCCUAUGUUAGUAUACCUAGCUAAACAUGAG
rnacentral:lncRNA from 1 species